AUGGAUGAUGGACCAAGGGGGUUCCAGUGCCCUGAGCUGGAGAACCAUGACUGCAAGAAUGAUCAACUCACAGCCUUGACUCUGAAAGUGUGUGUGUUCUAC